rnacentral:rRNA from 1 species
UACGUAGGGUGCGAGCGUUAAUCGGAAUUACUGGGCGUAAAGCGUGCGCAGGCGGUGAUGUAAGACAGUUGUGAAAUCCCCGGGCUCAACCUGGGAACUGCAUCUGUGACUGCAUCGCUGGAGUGCGGCAGAGGGGGAUGGAAUUCCGCGUGUAGCAGUGAAAUGCGUAGAUAUGCGGAGGAACACCGAUGGCGAAGGCAAUCCCCUGGGCCUGCAUUGACGCUCAUGCACGAAAGCGUGGGGAGCAAACAGG